rnacentral:rRNA from 1 species
GUCGAGAAUCUUUCACAAUGGGGGCAACCCUGAUGGAGCGACGCCGCGUGGAGGAUAAGGUCUUCGGAUUGUAAACUCCUGUCAUGCGUGAACAAGGUUGCUUGGUUAAUACCUGGGCAAAUUGAUGGUAACGCAAGAGGAAGAGACGGCUAACUCUGUGCCAGCAGCCGCGGUAAUACAGAGGUCUCAAGCGUUGUUCGGAAUCACUGGGCGUAAAGGGUGCGUAGGUGGCGUGGUAAGUCAGAUGUGAAAGCCCGGGGCUCAACCUCGGAACUGCAUCCGAUACUGCCAUGCUAGAGUACUGGAGAGUGGACUAGAAUUCUCGGUGUAGCAGUGAAAUGCGUAGAUAUCUAGAGGAAUACCAAAGGCGUAGGCAGGUCACUGGACAGUUACUGACACUGAGGCACGAAGGCCAGGGGAGCGAACGGGAUUAGAUACCCGGGUAGUCC